ACGAACGCUGGCGGCGUGCCUAAUACAUGCAAGUAGAACGCACAGUUUAUACCGUAGCUUGCUACACCAUAGACUGUGAGUUGCGAACGGGUGAGUAACGCGUAGGUAACCUGCCUGGUAGCGGGGGAUAACUAUUGGAAACGAUAGCUAAUACCGCAUAAUAUUGAUUAUUGCAUGAUAAUUGAUUGAAAGAUGCUAUUGCAUCACUACCAGAUGGACCUGCGUUGUAUUAGCUAGUAGGUGAGGUAACGGCUCACCUAGGCGACGAUACAUAGCCGACCUGAGAGGGUGAUCGGCCACACUGGGACUGAGACACGGCCCAGACUCCUACGGGAGGCAGCAGUAGGGAAUCUUCGGCAAUGGACGAAAGUCUGACCGAGCAACGCCGCGUGAGUGAAGAAGGUUUUCGGAUCGUAAAGCUCUGUUGUAAGAGAAGAACGGGUGUGAGAGUGGAAAGUUCACACUGUGACGGUAUCUUACCAGAAAGGGACGGCUAACUACGUGC
rnacentral:rRNA from 1 species